rnacentral:tRNA from 1 species
AUCUAUAUAGUUUAAUAUAAAACAUUAUAUUUUCAAUAUAAAGAUAGUCCAAACUUAUAGAUG